UUUGAAAAAGUGAGACCAAGGCAAGAGGAUUGCUUGAGACCAACUUAUUUGAGUUUUCCAGAGCGCUCUGGAACCAAAAGCAUGUUAGAAUUGGUUUUUGUUGGGGUUUUUUUUUUUUUUUUUUUUUUUUGAGACAGAUGCUCAGUCUGUCACCCAGGCUGGAGUGCAGUGGCGCGAUCUCGGCUCACUGCAACUUCCACCUGCUGGGUUCCAGCAAUUGUCCUGCCUCAGCCUCCCGAGUAGCUGGGACUUAGUCACUCAGGAGGCUGAGGCAUGAGAAUGGCAGAAUGACUUGAACCCGGGAAGCGGAGAUUGCAGUGAGCCAAGAUCAUGCCACUGCACUCCAGCCUGUGCGACAGAGUGAAACUGUGUCUCAAAAAUAAAAGAGUAAACAGCCAUGUCUUAGGAACAAGAGAGAGGGAAAUAAUAAG
rnacentral:lncRNA from 10 species